rnacentral:rRNA from 1 species
AUUAAUAAGCGGAGGAAAAGAAACUAACAAGGAUUCCCUCAGUAACGGCGAGUGAAGCGGGAAGAGCUCAAAUUUGAAAUCUCCGAUGCUUGCAUCGGCGAGUUGUAGUUGCGAGAAGCACUUUCUAGGCGGAUCGGUGGUGCCUAAGUUGCUUGGAACAGCACGUCACAGAGGGUGACAACCCCGUCUGUGGCGCCGCCGGCCGCCCACGAUGUGCUUUCGAAGAGUCGGGUUGUUUGGGAAUGCAGCCCAAAAUGGGUGGUAAACUCCAUCUAAAGCUAAAUACUGGCGUGAGACCGAUAGCGAACAAGUACCGUGAGGGAAAGAUGAAAAGAACUUUGAAAAGAGAGUUAAAAAGUACGUGAAACCGUUGAAAGGGAAACGAAUGGGCUCAGCAAUGCACCCUUUGAGAUUCAGCCGGUGGGUGGCAUCGGCGCGGGGUUUGCGGAUCUGAAUGGACCGCGGCCUGGCGCUCGUUUCCCCUCGCCGUCGCACUUCUCUUGGGCGCGCGUCAACGUCGGUUGGGACUGGGUCUGAAAGGUGCCGGGAAGGUAGGUGUGGGCCUUCGGGUCCGUGCUGUUACAGCCCGGUUCUCUCAUGGCCCGGGCCCGACCGAGGAGUUGCAGGGCAUGCCUCUCGUGGCUAGGGUCCCGUCCUUCCGGCCGGUUGUCCAGUGCCUUGGACUGCUUGCAGUGCUGGGCGAAGGCUGCCGGUCGUUGGGGUGGUGAUCUCGUACCAUGCCCUUAGGAUGUUGGCGGUC